GCCAUGGAACAGACACACCAUGGGCAGCAGCAGUGCAAGUUUCCCACAUCACUAGGCCAACACCUAUCAGUCCUGUUUAAGAAGGAAUACUUAGC
rnacentral:sRNA from 1 species